UUUUGUUCUCUCAAAUAAAGAAUAUUACGAAAAUUCUUUUCACUUCAGUCAAUUUAUAGAUAGGAGUGAAAUCGCACCGACAGUAGACAGCUGUGAAUAAAGUGCAUGUGCCCUCUGUUUAUUUGGAAGGUUUAAUAUUUAUUAAUGAACGGUACAACUUUUUAGAUAAUUCAAAAAAAUGACUAAACUUUUUUCUGUGAUCUUUCCCGGGUUGUCAUAAAUUAAAAACAGCUUUUAUAAAAUAACCUCCCACAAAUUGCACGUAGAAUAGCAAUGAAGAAAAUAAAUGAAAGAUCCAGAGCAACUGCUCAAAAUAACUGGCAACGGAGGAACUACACCAACUGCAGCCUCCGAAACUGACACAAGCCAUGGAGCCUCGACGUCCAGCUCCUCCGCACAAGGAGGUUACUGUAAGGGGCACCGUAGACAAGAGUCCAUGUAUACAAUGACUGGUCUUUAUUCACAAACCAUCCCAGAAACGACAGAAAUCGCUGAAAAAAAAUGUUCGACAAACUUUUGUCAUGACACAGUUAUUAAAUGCCACAGUAGAAAUCCUUCAGCUAGUUUUGUAGAGAUAAAGCUGCACAUACCGCGACUUACACUGAAACACCUGUGAUUUUGUUGAGACGGCUGUAGUAGUAUCAUUAUUGUUAGCCACUCAAGCUCUGAGAUAUCAAAAUUAUCUCCCUAUUAGAGAUUUUGGUAGGUGUCAAGAUGCAAAUGACAGUCUUGUGACCUUCUUGAAAGGCAUGUGCACAGAACUGUUGGAGUAAUGGUUUGUGGCGAUAUUGUUUAUCUUAAAUCUAUUUGAGGCAGUUUAACAACUUGGCGUUAUUUUAAUGAUUACAUUCUAAUCACUUCACGGCAUUAUCUAAGCGAACGGUCACUAGUCAUUUUCAAGCUAGAGAACGCACGUCCACAUAUUUCUCUCGUAUCAAGUUUCUGCAAAAAACUGUUAUUUAUAUUUCAUAGUGGUCACAUCGAUUACCGGGUUUGACACCUAAGAAAAAAGUGUGAGAUAUAAUGGGGAAAAACCUCCACAGACUGAUAUGGUUAAUCCAAGUUAAUUCCAAGUUGCUUGGAACGAGAUGCGACAACAAAAGCCUUGACUUGUACAGGAGUAUACUAAGCUGUGGUAUCACUAAACACGCUAUGAGUAUAUCUUAAUAGACUAUUGCAAAUGUUUUUGCAAAUAUUUAUUUAGUUCUUGAUAUUCGACUGGGUAUCACAUUAUUAAAAAAUCAAAGUAAAUAAAUGGAUAUAUUUCCGUUUUAUCAUCAUGAAAUAACUUCAAUACAUUCUUCAAUAUUUAAAUAAAGAGUUAUAUUGUCACAAAAGAAAUAUUUCCGUCGUCUUGUUGCAUUAUUUAUAUAACUUAUAUAAUUUCAGUCAUCUGUGUCGUCAGAAAAAUGAUAAGCAAGUGAAUUAUAGAUUUCACUUUCGAAACUUUAUUUUUAAAAAUUUUAUUAUCAAAAAAUACGUUACAUUUCCACAAAUGUUGAAUGAAUUUCAUUAAGUUUAAACCAUGGAAUUAAUAAAACACAGUCGUUGAACAAAUUAACAAAAUUCAUUAAAAUAGUAGUCUUCCGGAUGUUUCUUGAUGUAACUAUCGAAAUGUUAUUAUAAAAUCAUGAACAUCCAGUACGCGGGAUCAAAAAUAAAAAAUUUAGUAUUACAAUAGCGGCUAAAAAAUUAUCAUGUGGCAAAGAGAAUUGUCAACGAAGGAUGUACCUAUCGUAUGUCUAGGGCAUACUUGAAAAUCUCAUGAAUAUCAGUUCAUAGAGACUAAUAACUUUUAUAAGUGUGCUUUAAAAUGUAUCUAAUCACAUCCGACAAUUCAUGAAUCUCUAUUUUUGGGGGCAGAUCAAUGUAAUGUAAUAAAACAAUAUCAACCCAAGCAGCACAGUGUCGUUACUAUGACGUCAAUUAUAGGCCAUUGGCGACCAAUGGGGACGUCUAAAAUGACGUGAUUAUGACGGGUUAAUGUCACAUCCUACAGACGUCAACUAAUGACGUACCUAGUCCGGCUGGUGAGACGUCAAAAUGACGUACUUACUUUUGACAAAUGACGUAUAAGUAGGAUCAAAAAUAUAAAAAAAUGCGUUCAAAUUAAUACCAGUUUAUUACAAAAUCUUAAAAAACUACAUACUAUUACACUUAUAGAACAUAAAAGUUGAAAUAAGGAAUUACUAAUGAUGCAAUAAUGAAAAUGACAACCAUUCCUGCUUGAAAGGAAAAACAAUACAUUUCGAAAAAACUUUGUGGCAGUGCAAUAACUCGAUAUACUCUGAUAAAUUUUGGAUAAAUUCUUUUGAGUCGACAGGGUAUUUGUAAAAUGAACGGUAAUCCUGAAACCUCCUACCUAAUAUAAAAACUGCUCCAUUAUUAUCCACUACAUUUUCUAUUUUGAAAACCAGUCCUUCUAAGGUAAGACAAAAACAAUUUGCUUCUGAAUAUGAUGCAAUAGAAAAAAUAAAAUCUUUAUAAUGAAGCUUUUUAUACUGCUUGCAAGAGAAAUUUGGCGUUGGUCCUAAGAAAUGGGACAAUUCACAUUUACAGAAGUGUUCAUCAUCAGGUGAAGUAGAGUCAUGUUUUUCGUACACUGUCAUUUCAAUUUCUUUUAAGCGUCUAUUAAUCUGUUGUAACGGUUUAUUCGGAGACUGAACUAACGAUUUUAAAUGGUGGAGAUAAUGCAAGAGAUGAGUAACUACUGUACGUCGAACGUACCUUGAAGCUGCCCAGUUUGACAAUUUCGAAUGCAAAUCGCUAGGCGGCGGUUCAUUAGAAAAUAAAUCGUUAGGGGGCACGUUACUGGAAUAGGAAGUCAAAUGGUUGUAUAACGUCGCAUCAUUGAAGAGCAAAUUUUCAUUAGGCGAGUUUACAUUAAAAUCUAAAUCUCUUGAGGAACAGGUGUCAUUUUCACUUUCACACAUUGAACCAGCAAAAAAAAACGGAAUUUGAUGAUUCAUUGGAAUCAUUAUUAACUAUUAAAGAUGUAUUAUAACAAUUCUGACUCACAGGUGCUAAAUUUGCUUCUGCCAUCCUUCUGUAGAGUUGUCUUUGACUAACAACACUUUUUUUCUUACGGGUUGCCAUGCUGCUGCUUUUUCAAUUUCUCUGGUGCAUGUUUCAACCACACCUUGAUGGUAUCUUCUAUUUCUUUCUGACUGACUAGAGGGGAGCUUUUUCUUACAGCACCUAAAAAUGUUGUUUCAGAUUAAUAAUAAGUAUGCACCUACAAGUGAAAACACUUACCAAUAAUCACAUCCUUUACGUUUAAGUUUUUAAAAGCCUUUUUCUCACCUCGUUUGCCACAAAAAUUCCAAUUAGUUGCAAGAGAAUAAAUGAACAAAAAAUUUAAAAUGCGGUUUGUAUGUCCAGUAAAAUCUCUCCCUCCAAAAGUCGAUAGAUAUGCCGACUAGAAUCACAUAAUUUAAAUUGUAAAAUACAUAUUAAGUGGUACAGAACACCCACCAAACCGCCAAACAACUUUUUGCUGCCGUCCGCCAUUACGCGCACACGCGUUCACACCAGCAGUCCAGCACGCAUGCGCUUGCACGUCUCGUAUCGUAUCGUGGCAUUUCGAUUAAAAUCGCGCCAAAAUUAAAUCUUGGUCGACAGCCUCGACAGGAAUCGAUGCUAAAAAUAAUUGUUUCCUACUAAUAAAAUAGUUAAAUAAUUGUUAAUUACAACAUUCUCACUUCAUCUUUAAAUUCAAAUUGCAUUUCCACUUAAAACGUCAGUUUAGUAUUUUCAUUGCUAAUUAAUGAAUUUAUAUUUAUAUCCAAAUUUUAGGUAAACAACAAUUUAAAAUGUACAAUUUUUUAUAAAGCACGUAUAGGGCUUAGUUUUUGUAAUAAACUUUCGUUCUAAUUUUUUUUAUAGUUGAUUAAAAAGCACUUAAAACGACCGAAAACAAACGUACGAAAGACGUCUCUAGACGACGUCAAAAUGACAUCUGAAAUGUCACGUCAUAUGGACGUCGCUUAUUGGUCUACGACGUCGCCGACUAAUAAUGUCCAAUAAUUGACGUCAUUAUAACGACACUGUGCUGCUUGGGAAAAUCAAUGUCUGCAUCUAUUUUUCAGGAAGAAGACAUCUUGAAUGGAUACGGCUGAUAGGAAUUCAAGUAUUAUAUAAUUGUAAACACCUGUAAAAUAAUAAUAAUACAAUUUGUGGAUAAAUCGUUUCCCAAUUCGUCAACUACAUCGAUGCAUAACGUGUCUACAACGACAAAAACAUUUGUGGAAGUACCCAAUAUUCGAAGCAAUGUCAACAUAACUCUUUAGUAAUUUUCAACCCUCGACAGCUCAUAAAAGAAUCCUGAUUAAGUUGGAGAUCUCGAAUUGAUAUUUUUCACAGUAUAUGCUAUCCAAGUACAUCCGAAACAGUAAAAUGUACUUCGCGAAUUUCUUGUUGCAUCGAAAGGCUUUCUUCAUUUGUACGUUUUACUCUGUCCUUAUACUAACUGCUGAAAGAUUAUGAAAAAUACAAAUUUAUUGAAUAAAUAGAUGAAUGUAAUUAUUCUGUCGUAAAAACAACUUGAAAGUAAUGUGACAACUACAGAGUAAUUUGAUAAACAUCAGUGGUGUGAAAAGCAUAUAUGAAUCAUGAAAAUCGACCCGAUGAAACAGAAAUUAAAAAUAAACAGAAACUGUAGAAAGAGGAAUAAAAAUAUACUAGUGUGUUUAGUGAUUUGUGUUUUUUAAAGUUAGUUUUUGUAGUACUUUAAAGAACAUUCUAUAAUUUUUCAUUUUUGUUUCAUCAAUUAUCAAAUCAUAAUAAUUAGUUUAAUAUUUGAGAAAAAUAUGUCGAAGUUUUCAAUGAUGUUUCGAAGGCAUUAUUUGGACAAUGUUUUCAUACCGGUAAUUGAUAGAAGACAUUCCUUACAACGCUCUAUGCUCUAUUUUCUAUCUAUAAAAAUAAAUUGCAUUAAUUUUGA